rnacentral:rRNA from 1 species
UACGUAGGGGGCAAGCGUUGUCCGGAAUUAUUGGGCGUAAAGAGCGUGUAGGCGGUCCGGUAAGUCAGCUGUGAAAGUCAAGGGCUCAACCCUUGAAUGCCGGUUGAUACUGUCGGGCUAGAGUCCGGAAGAGGCGAGUGGAAUUCCCCGGUGUAGCGGUGAAAUGCGCAGAUAUCGGGAGGAACACCAAUGGCGAAGGCAGCUCGCUGGGACGGUACUGACGCUGAGACGCGAAAGCGUGGGGAGCAAACAGG